GGAGUAGGAGAUCGCGCGUUAAGUACCGCACGGAUGGGAGGUUGCCGGCGGGCGAAGGGGCUAGGCGCCCCGCGAUGGGUUCUCCGCAACCGCCUG
rnacentral:ncRNA from 1 species